AUUCUACUCGCGAGUAUUCCUGACUGAAUUCGCCGGUAGAAAGUUUUGCUAAUUUAAAAGUUUGCUAUUUGUGGAAUUUCUUAUCGAAUGGUAAAUCGAAAAUGGUUGUUGGAGAAAUAGCAAAGCGACGCGCACAGGAUGAUUUAUGGAUUGCCAUAAAAUCUGAUUCGGGGUAGUUUAGUGUCUGUUUAGAUGGUACUAGCUAAUAGAUACUUAUAUUCGAUGACUUGUUGACUUUUUUCGGACGGUCGAUGUUAAGAAAGGCUGAUGCGGAAAGCUGAAUAUGUGCAGUGGAAUUUUACUUAUGAAUGCUUGAAUGAACGCUUAUGAAUGAAUAUCGCGAGUACCGAUAUUAUUAUCUUCACACCUGUCGAAAAUACAACGUCGAACACCUACGAUAACAACGGCGAGGAAUCUAAAUAAAGAAACAGGAAAUGUUAGUUCGGAGCCUGUAUAAAUAAACAUGCUGUCAGGUAAAUAAACAGUUAGAAAGCUAAAUAAACAAAUAUUCUUUUUCUUGUUUUUUAAACGAGCGAGUCGGAAAGAAAAAAAGGACCGUGUAGUUAAUGACGCAAUAUCGAUGAAUAAAAAAUAUCUAUUACACCUAACGAACCAAUCCAAGCGAGAUCCGUCGAACUUUCUUUUAACUUUUAUUUUUAUCGGACAAAAUUUCCAACGCCUGUACCGUAAUAGACGUCUACCAAGCGUUGUACAAUGUCAACCCCUCGAUUCCACCCCAGAAGAUAUUCAAAUCCUUCCAUCUCCUAUAUGUCCCAAUUUCUAUUCUACGCGUGCAAUCUACCACACAAGGAUUGCAAUCGACUUUGAUUCUCGGGAGAAUAAUCGAGAUAGCUAGUGGCCGUUAAUCGACGAUUGCACCACCAUGUAUCUGAUUUGGGCACUUUCUCGCGUCAGGAAUCAAGAGCGCGAAAGCGACAUCGAUCCUCCGCCGCGCUGCGCCGAGACGAAGAGACGAAGAGAAGCAAAAAGACCGGUGAGUCAACGAUCCUCGCGAUGAUGCGAGCCGUUGCAUCAUCCGCCGACGAAAGUUCGGACUACGUCCAAGACGUGACCAAAAAAGGCAACCACGCGGAUCAAGCGUGCAACGAACGAUCGAAACGCGGUUGCACGUUGCGCGCGACGUCCAAAGGAAUUUGUCCAGCGAAUUCUACCUAUUGAUCACUGCCAAGCAAAAAGAGAUUAAAAUAGGAACGGACUGAUAUUAUUCGACGACGGGAUCGGUGACCUUAGUCUAGAGAAAAUUUCGUCGCGAAAACCAGAUGGCAGCGUACAGCGAGUUUGCAUUAAGCUCGUGGGUACUCGAGAUAGUCUCGAGUAGCUUCCGCAAGUUCUCCUACUGAAACGAUAUGAAACACGGAACAUAUGACGCGUGCUAUUCGCUUGGAGUUGGUGCCACGAUAGGAUCAGCGCGUUUCACGACUUCCUUUCAAGAAAAACAUCAAUUUUCUUUUAUCGUGGAACGUGAUUUUUACUCUUCUAUCGAUUAUCUGAAACUUAAGGUAAUUGGCUUCUUCCAAUAGCGCGGUUUGAUCGUCCUGUUACGACGAUACAUGGGAGAAGAAGAGAAUUAAAAUUCUUUUAUGGGAAAGCUUUAGAUAAAGGGUGUACGGUAAUUUCAUUUGUAUGCAGCGGUGUUAGAUCAUGGGUGGAUAGUAGUAAUUGGUUACGUGAUUAGAAAGAACGAUUCUCGCUCCUAGUAAUAAAUUAGAGCUAGGUAUUUUGUAUGCUCGUAAUGUUUGUAAAGAAGAAUCACGAUUAAAGUAUAUCGAGAUCGAUUCGAAUUUUGAAUCUGA